GACACAUGCAAGUCGAACGGUAACAGGAAGAAGCUUGCUUCUUUGCUGACGAGCGGCGGACGGGUGAGUAAUGUCUGGGAAACUGCCUGAUGGAGGGGGAUAACUACUGGAAACGGUAGCUAAUACCGCAUAACGUCGCAAAACCAAAGAGGGGGACCUUCGGGCCUCUUGCCAUCGGAUGUGCCCAGAUGGGAUUAGCUAGUAGGUGGGGUAACGGCUCACCUAGGCGACGAUCCCUAGCUGGUCUGAGAGGAUGACCAGCCACACUGGAACUGAGACACGGUCCAGAGUCCUACGGGAGGCAGCAGUGGGGAAUAUUGCACAAUGGGCGCAACCUGAUGCAGCCAUGCCGCGUGUAUGAAGAAGGCCUUCGGGUUGUAAAGUACUUUCAGCGGGGAGGAAGGGAGUAAAGAGAAAAACUUUGCUCAUUGACGUUACCCGCAGAAGAAGCACCGGCUAACUCCGUGCCAGCAGCCGCGGUAAUACGGAGGGUGCAAGCGUUAAUCGGAAUUACUGGGCGUAAAGCGCACGCAGGCGGUUUGUUAAGUCAGAUGUGAAAUCCCCGGGCUCAACCUGGGAACUGCAUCUGAUACUGGCAAGCUUGAGUCUCGUAGAGGGGGGUAGAAUUCCAGGUGUAGCGGUGAAAUGCGUAGAGAUCUGGAGGAAUACCGGUGGCGAAGGCGGCCCCCUGGACGAAGACUGACGCUCAGGUGCGAAACGUGGGGGAGCAAACAGGAUUAGAUACCCUGGUAGUCCACGCCGUAAACGAUGUCGACUUGGAGGUUGUGCCCUUGAGGCGUGGCUUCCGGAGCUAACGCGUUAAGUCGACCGCCUGGGGAGUACGGCCGCAAGGUUAAAACUCAAAUGAAUUGACGGGGGCCCGCACAAGCGUGGGAGCAUGUGGUUUAAUUCGAUGCAACGCGAAGAACCUUACCUGGUCUUGACAUCCACGGAAGUUUUCAGAGAUGAGAAUGUGCCUUCGGGAACCGUGAGACAGGU
rnacentral:rRNA from 1 species